AACGCGAAGAACCUUACCUGGGUUUGACAUACACCAGACGACGGCAGAGAUGUCGUUUCCCUUGUGGUUGGUGUACAGGUGGUGCAUGGCUGUCGUCAGCUCGUGUCGUGAGAUGUUGGGUUAAGUCCCGCAACGAGCGCAACCCUUGUCCUGUAUUGCCAGCGGGUUAUGCCGGGGACUUGCAGGAGACUGCCGGGGUCAACUCGGAGGAAGGUGGGGAUGACGUCAAGUCAUCAUGCCCCUUAUGUCCAGGGCUUCACACAUGCUACAAUGGCGCGUACAGAGGGCUGCGAUACCGUGAGGUGGAGCGAAUCCCUAAAGCGUGUCUCAGUUCGGAUUGGGGUCUGCAACUCGACCCCAUGAAGUCGGAGUCGCUAGUAAUCGCAGAUCAGCAACGCUGCGGUGAAUACGUUCCCGGGUCUUGUACACACCG
rnacentral:rRNA from 1 species